rnacentral:rRNA from 1 species
UGGGGAAUAUUGCACAAUGGGCGCAAGCCUGAUGCAGCCAUGCCGCGUGUAUGAAGAAGGCCUUCGGGUUGUAAAGUACUUUCAGCGGGGAGGAAGGCGAUAAGGUUAAUAACCUUGUCGAUUGACGUUACCCGCAGAAGAAUCACCGGCUAACUCCGUGCCAGCAGCCGCGGUAAUACGGAGGGUGCAAGCGUUAAUCGGAAUUACUGGGCGUAAAGCGCACGCAGGCGGUCUGUCAAGUCGGAUGUGAAAUCCCCGGGCUCAACCUGGGAACUGCAUUCGAAACUGGCAGGCUAGAGUCUUGUAGAGGGGGGUAGAAUUCCAGGUGUAGCGGUGAAAUGCGUAGAGAUCUGGAGGAAUACCGGUGGCGAAGGCGGCCCCCUGGACAAAGACUGACGCUCAGGUGCGAAAGCGUGGGGAGCAAACA